UAUAUCACUAAAAACAAAAUCAGAUCUUUCAUCUCCCCAAACCCUAGAUGAAUGACCUUCAAAUGUCUCACCGACUUGUAGACUGUAGCCACCAAUCAUCGACGAAAUUGCAGGUUUCAGUAGGCAUGAUAUCAGAUCUCCAAAGCAAUCGUUUCUCUUCACUGCGUCGUCUACGAAACCGGAAGACGAUGAUGGUGAUGAAGAUGUUACAGUAGAUUGAUGAACGCCACUUCGCAAAUGGCGAGUUCGAAAGACGAUUCAGCCUCUGAUACCGCCAAUUUUGCCACCAAUCACCGCCGCACUAACUCCAACACCAAGUUCUUCUCCAACGGCGAGAGAGUUCUCGCUUAUCAUGGUCCCGUAUCUACGAAGCAAAGGCAUGUGCAUUAUUUUUAUCUCUUUUAAGUCGAUCUAUCACUUUUGUUUGUUACCUAUCGUUUAAUUUUACUUUUAUGCGGUUGAGAUUUAGCUAUGGAGAGUUGAAUCGAAUCGAGAUAAUGAGGACUGUGUUAGAAUACAUUCAGCAGAACUAUAUGUUAUUGUUUGAAGUAUUCUUAUGAGAUUGGUUUCGAUUACUUUAUUCAGUUUAUCUGGCUUUAUGUCGGCUAGGUUGAACCUAUUGUGAUGCCCAAAGAUUACAGGCCAAAAAGUUUACAGAUUUGAUUGAGUUGCCUAAGUAAUUUUGUGAAAGAAGUUACGGAUGAUGAUAAGUUGAGAGGGAUUGUGAGGUGUCGAUUUAGGAAUGGGUGCAGCAAACAGAGAUGGCUUUGUGGAAUCAAGUCGGGUCACCAGAAAGGGUGUGUUUGGAAGUGUUCGCAGGAGAAUUGGCGGAGAAGAUGACUUGGUUGUUAAGGUCACAACAUCAUUGGCUUGAAGGUUAUUUAGUAAGAAAGGAGGAAGGGAAAGGAUAUAUAUAUUAUAUGCAAGGAUGACACCCGAUAGUUCUAGACGUCCGGGUGAGUUCAUAUGACUCCAAAAGUCCAACUUAUAUGACAUUAAUCAUAUAGGUAAUCAUAUGGUGCAACUUAUUUGAACUUAUAGUUUAUUGUAGAAGUAUAUUAAUAUGUCUGGGAUUGAAUUAACGAUAUGUUCCAUUGUAUUAAGACAUGAAAAAGAGAUAAAACGGAAUGUACGGAUUCCAUAGUGAGGUUACAAUGGGUUCUAUAAUGAGAUUCUUGAAUCUCAUAGAAUGUUCACUGUAGUAUAUAAACAUUAAUUUUGGAUGUUUGAGUAGAACUGAAAUGUGUCUUUUGACCCGUUUGUCGUUAUAAUUGCAUAAAUGUAAUUUAAUUUAUGUGGAUGAUAUUAGGGUCAAUGUAACAAUUUAUAUAUGUCUUAGUUCAUAAAUAAUAACGUGUAUGUAAUGUUGAAGACUGAAGUGGACUGUAUGUUUAAAAAAUUGAACAGGGCUGCUGUUUAUGGGCUGGCACAUGCCUAUGUACAUGUACAACAAGUAGGUACAUAGCCAUAAUACGCAGUUGUAAUAUAUAUAUUUGUGAUUUUGAUACUCUUUCCUGAUUGCAUUUUGCCUAUGUUGGGUGAUUAAAAGCGUUCGAUAGAAAGAAUAUUUGAACCUACAUGCCUUUGGUGCAACUAUAAUGAGGCGGUGUCACAAUUUGAGAUUAGGUCCACAUGGAAAAACUUCUGAAGUCUUAGUUGCAGAUGCUACAAAAUGUUGUACUUAUUAGAAACUUGAACUCUGGGUGUUUUUUUAGCCAUAGCUUAAUUUACAUUUGCUUUUGGCUUUGACUUUAUGAGCAAGUUAACUUGGUUUGGGUCUAAGUUUGCAAAUUAUGGCAUGGUUUGCCCGCCGCAUUGCGGCGGGUACUAAUCCUAGUUAUUAUUAAAAUAUUAGAAUUGCUUCAUUUCUUGAAAUGCGAUUUCA